UACGUAGGGCGCAAGCGUUUAUCCGGAAUUAUUGGGCGUAAAGAGCUCGUAGGCGGUUUGUCGCGUCUGCCGUGAAAGUCCGGGGCUCAACUCCGGAUCUGCGGUGGGUACGGGCAGACUAGAGUGAUGUAGGGGGAGACUGGAAUUCCUGGUGUAGCGGUGAAAUGCGCAGAUAUCAGGAGGAACACCGGUGGCGAAGGCGGGGUCUCUGGGCAGUAACUGACGCUGAGGAGCGAAAGCGUGGGGAGCGAACAGG
rnacentral:rRNA from 1 species